rnacentral:lncRNA from 1 species
CUGAGAUGGGCAUGGUGAUAAAGGUAAAGUCAGUUGAUAUGCUAUGGAUAUGUACAGGUACGUACAUUAUACUCAUAAGUGAUGCCUCAUUGAAAUGUGAUAAAUGAUGAGUAAGCGAAUUCAUGCAUAUGUAUGUGUAUACAUGAUAAACAAGUAAAAACGUUUGAAAGAUGAACGAUCAUUAUGCUUAUGAUUACGAAAUAUGUUGUAAUAUCAUGUUAACUUACAUUGUGUAAUGAGAUAUGGGUUUCAUGAAAUGAUGAGUCCAUGAUUAAUGAGCUUAUGAUAGUUAUUAUGAAUUUGCACUAAAAC